CGCCUCUUGAAUUACAUAAGAGGUCCAGCCUGCCCAGUGACUUUGUUCAACGGCCGCGGUAUCCUAACCGUGCGAAGGUAGCGUAAUCACUUGUUCUUUAAUUGUGGACUAGUAUGAAUGGCAUCACGAGGGUUAUACUGUCUCCUUUUUCUAAUCAGUGAAACUAAUCUCCCCGUGAAGAAGCGGGGAUAAAAAUAUAAGACGAGAAGACCCUAUGGAGCUUUAAACAACAUAGCAAUUAACAUUUAAACACAAAAUUUCCGAACCAUUUAGCCCACAAAAUAAUAUGACUAUGAGUUUUUGGUUGGGGUGACCGCGGAGCAAAAUACAACCUCCAUGCUGAAAGAUAUGAACCUCUAAGCCAAGACCUACAUGUCUAAGCAUCAGCACACUGACAUUUAUUGACCCAAUAUACUUGAGCAACGAACCAAGUUACCCUAGGGAUAACAGCGCAAUCCACUUCAAGAGCUCCUAUCGACAAGUGGGUUUACGACCUCGAUGUUGGAUCAGGGUGUCCCAGUGGUGCAGCCGCUACUAAAGGUUCGUUUGUUCAACGAUUAAAACCCUACG
rnacentral:rRNA from 2 species